GCAUGGCACACGUGUGGAGGGCAGAGGACAACCUUAAGAUUCUGUCCUCAGGCCCCUUCCUCCUUUUGUCUGGGGCAGGGGCUCUCACUGGCCUGGAACUUGCUAACUGGCCCCUGGGAUCUGCCUGUCCCCACCUCCCAGGCACCAUCACUGGAAUUAUAGGCCCAUGCCAUGGCACAUGGCUCUUAAGUGGUCCCAACACUUUUGGGACAAGUGCUUUACUGACUGAGCCAUCUUUGCAGCUGUCAACUGUCACCUUGAGAGUCAUUCUCGGUUCUCCCAUAAUCCUUUGAUUGGUAACCUUAACAACUUUGACCAGUCUUUGUAGGAAUGGCUUCUCUGUCUCCAGGACACACAAAUCUUCCACGCCAGCGAUCAUUCCAUUCAUCACUAUGUGACCCAGGAAGAUUAUUGUUUAGGUAGACUGUAGUGCAGGAUUCUUCUGGACGCAGACACUUGAAUUCUUUGAAAGGAGAAACAUGCUGGUUUCACAUCAUUGUACCUGUCUGAAAUUCAGGUACCACCAUCCUUCUUCCCCUCCCUCCCUCCCUCCUUCCCUCUCUCCUUUCUUUCUUUGUGGCAUUAGGGAUGGAACCCAGGGUCUCACACGUUCAAGGUAAGUACUCUACCCCUGAGCCUCACCCCAGCUCCUCACUGGGGGAUUCUAGGCAGGUACUCUACCACUGAGCCACACCCCAGCCCCUCACUGGGGGAUUCUAGGCAGGAGCUCUACCACUGAGCCACACCCCAGCCCCUCACUGGGGGAUUCUAGGCAGGUGCUCUACCACUGAGCCAUACCCCAGUCCCUCACUGGGGGAAUCUAGGCAGGUGCUCUACCACUGAGCCUCACCCCAGCCCCUCACUGGGGGAUUCUAGGCAGGGGCUGUACCACUGAGCCUCACCCCAGCCCCUCACUGGGGGAUUCUAGGCAGGGGCUCUACCACUGAGCCACACUCCAGCCCCUCACUGGGGGAUUCUAAGUAAGUUCCUUAUCCAGGCUGGCCUUGAACUCACUCUGCAGCCCAAGCAGCCCUUUAACUUGGAAUCUUUCUACUCAGCCUCCUGAAAAUCUAGUGUGAUAGAUUUGUGCCACUAGAACCUGCUCUGUUUUUUUUUUAUAUAUAUUUUAUUUUUUAAAGUUUUAUCCCAUGGGCUGGAGAGAUGGCUCAGCAGUUAAGUACAUUCGCUGCUCUUGCAGAGGAUCCAGGUUUGAUUCCCAGCACCCACAUGGUGGCUCACAACAAUCCCAACUUGGGUUUCAGGAACCCAACUCUCUCCUCUGACCUGUAUGCAUGUGAUGCAUGCAUUUAUUUAUAUAUAUACAUAUGUAUAUUAUAUACAUAUAUAUACAUAUAUAUUAUACACACACACACACAUAUAUAUAUGCAGGCUAAACAUUCAUACACAUCAAAUCAAAUCAAUAAACAUAAAAGGCUGUUUUAGCUUAGCAUAGUGAUACUCACUGAAGGAGGCUGAAACAGGAAGAUCCUGAGUCAGAGGCCAGAGGCUACUUUGUCUUCAGAAAGUUUUUUCUUUCUUUUCUCUGCAGGGUCCUAUAUAUCUCAGACUGCUCUCAAAUAUGCUAAGUGGCUGAGGACUGUCUUGAACCUCUGACCCUCCUGUCUCCACACCUUCAGGGCUUGUGGUUCCCGGGAAAUCAAACACACGCUGUCAGGCUGGGAGACGUUGCAAGCUUCGGGACUUCUCCCGCCUCUGCCUCGUCUCCUUGAAGGCGGAGCACAAGGAUUACAGACGUGUGCACUGCCGUGUCCAGCUUUUCGUGUGCUCACUGGGUACUGAACUCACGUCCUCGCGCUUGCGUCGUGAAUGCCUUACCCACCCAGCUGUCCUCACAGUUCCAUACCGUGAUUUUUUUAAAAUGACAGCGCAACAGAAAUGCCAGUGUUCCAGACGGAGCUACCGUUUGUUGCCUACCAGACACUACAGCGUGAGGGUCUCAGAAAUGUUCAGCGAGCACUUCCAGCCUGAGUACUUCCUGUGUGACUUCCAUCCUUAGAAUGGUUAUGAAGGCUGCUGCAGUGACAACCAUGGGAUGAGUAUCCAAGGGGGUCCAGGGAGGCUUAUGCAGCACCGUGCCUUUCCUGGCAGUGACUCCUCUGCAGGGAGUGGAUGGUGAGGCUCCUCCGUAGCAUUCAGCACCUACCAGAAGGUCAAGGGUUCCCAGGUACAAGCGCUUGGGGAGCUAGAAAGUGAGUGGUGAGAAGUGAGUUUGGGAAGCUGGAGGGGUGGGGCCUCUUCCUACUAGUUGGUGCUGGCUGAGAACUGUUAGCUUAUGCCUUUAGCAAGCAGUGACAGCCGCCACAGAGCAAUUAGGAGGCGGCAAGUCAGACAGCCUAGCAAAGAAUCCAGUACAACCAGAUCAAGAGGGUCAUAACUGCCCAUCUCCUACAAGCCACACCUCCUCACCAAGGGAUGCCAGGUAGGCCACGCCUCCUCUCACAGAAGGAUGCUAGGCAGGUACUCUUCCAGGCAGGGCAGCCAUGCCAUACCCACUCACUGAGGGAUUCUAGAUGACAGGUCUGGUGAGGACUCAGGAGUCGUGGUGGCGAAGAUCAGGAUGGAUAGAUACAGUAGGUGGUAGUCAGUCUUUCUUUACCUCCUAAGGACAAGAAUCACCUCAUACCAUGUGGAAGAACCAGUGGCUUGUGUCCAUAGUCUCCUCAGAGGCUCGAGAUACGGCCUUCAGGACCUGUAUGUCUCUACCACAGACGGGGAAGGGAAGGACGGGGAGGUGAGGCUGCUCAGAGGUUGGGUGUCCUUCAACUACCGUCACAGGGAGUGGGGCCCUGCCAACCUCAAAGUGCCGCUGUGGGCAGCCCUGGUGGGCAGAGGUACAGGCAGCGCAUGGGUAUAAGAUUUCUCUAAUAAAAGCAACAGUUUUCUUUAUCCCCACUGCCAAAAUAAUUGACACAGAGAGACUAUGAUUUAUUUUACAAGCUCAAAGCAUUGGAGUCGGGCAGAUUUCAACCCUCUAAACUAUUUAGCUAUCUCUCUGCUACACAACUUCUGUUACUUGCCAAUAAAUUGUCCUUUACUGGGUCCAUCUGCUCCAUCUGGCCACAACCUCCUAGUCCGUGUUCUGUCCUCCUCCCACCCACUCUUUGCUCCGUGGUCCCCAGGCUUCGAACCCCAAACUCUGCCCCCUUUUCUUCUGCCAAAUCCCAAGCUUCAGCAUUUUUUUUUUUUUUUUUACUAUUAAGCAAUCCACUUUAAAUUAGAUGAAACAAGGUUUGUACAAGGACAGGUGCAUGUGGGAAUGUGGCCAGGAAGCAACCAGGUCUUGGCAUCCAGCGUUAGGCUACGUAGACCAGACAAAGCCCCAGCAGAUGGGGGAGGGAUGACGCUAGCCCCAACAGAAUGUGUGACUUCAGAGAUGCCCCAUGUGUUUCUCCAGGGCGAAGCUUGCUCAGGGGCGUGUGUAAGGCAGCUGGCCUCCGUAGCCAGGAAGCACAGAGAGGGAUGAAUGCUGGUGCCACUCCCAGCCCACGCGCCACUGCGCUGCCUGCUUUCAGGGUGGACCUUCCCACACCAGUUAAGCCUCCCUGAAACACCCUGACAGGCCCGCCCAUCCAGGUGUCUUCCGUGGGAUUCCGAGUCUCAUCCAGUUAGCAGAGAGGAUUAACUACCAGAGUCCUGCUCUGGAAACACCCCACAGGGUCUUUGCCCAUGAAUGUGUGCCCUUUGGAAUUGGCCAUGUGUGAGGUCUCAAUGACACCUUGGCUGCAAACAUGGAAAUGAUGUGGUCAAGGGUGACCUCUGAGGGCCCUGUCUCUACGUGGCUGUUUUGCUGUCUGGCUUUGUGCCACAGAGAAUGCCCUUGGGUGGCUUUACUGUCUGUUACAGUAUGCUGAUUUACAGGGCUUCUGCCAGCUCAGUGGUGGGUGUAUUGAAUGACCACGAGCUCUGGGCCUUCCCAGAGCUGCAAGGAGCUCUGCCUUUCCCUGUGCCAGGCUAUGAACUAUGUGUGGUACUUAAGAAAAGAGUCCUGGGUGCUAGCAAGGACUUCCUUUCUUAGCUGGUAUUGUCCUGGUCUUGGAACACAUGGAGGACAAAAGAUCAGAGUUUACCGAAUAUCGCAUGGCUCAGUGAUACAUUGCUUGUCUGGAAUCCCCCAGUGAGGGGCUGGGGUGUGGCUUAGUGGUAGAGCCCCUGCCUAGAACCCCCAGUGAGGGGUUAGGGUGUGGCUCAGUGGUAGAGCACCUGCCUAGAAUCCCCCAGUGAGGGGUUAGGGUGUGGCUCAGUGGUAGAGCACUUGCCUAGCAUGUAUGAGACCCUAAAUUCCAGAAGUUUAUAAAACAAAACAAAACAACAAAACAAAAUGAAAACACACACCAAAAAAGUUGCAGAUUUUACCCAGUGCUCCAAGAUUCACCUCUCUACUGUUCCAUUACGACUCCACAGGCUUCCACCCUCAGUCUGUCACCCUGUAGACCUCUAAUCUAUUUUCCAUUCUCACAGUUUUGUCAUUUACAGGAUGUCACAUAAAUGGCACAAUAUGGAGUGGAGCCCUUUGAGACCGGUGUUCUCUGUGCUCUGUAUAAUCCCCUCUAAACUACCACGGUUACUAAGUGUAUCAUGGUCUGUUCUUUUCAGGGUAGAAUUCGUGGUGCAAAGCUACAGUUUUAAUGGAGGCCAUCGGGUCAUUUCUAGGUUUUUUACUAUUAUGAACAAAGUCCCUCUGAAUAUCAUAUCUGUGUCUCUGUGUGUCUCUGUGUCUGUGUGUGGGUAUGUAUCUCUAUGUGUAUGUGUGUGUACCUCUGUGUGUGCAGUUUCAAUGAGUUUCAUUAGGGUUACUGCUUUCAGGAGCAUGUGUGAAGCGGACUCAUGGUUUGAAACAGACUCAUGUGUUUCAACAUUGUUCCCCAGCAGGUGGUGCUGUUUGGGAAGGUUGUGCCACCCGUGAAAGGUGGGAAGCAGCAGGGGCUUGUGGAUUGCAGCGCUGGGCUCCACUUCCAAUCCUGUCUCUGCUCCCUGUUCUGCUAAGAAGUGAGGCGUCGAGGAGCCCAGGAACUUGCUCCCACUUCCACGGAGCUUUCCUGCUUUAGUCAGGUCAUCUGUCCCCAAAUAAUAAAGGGCUCUGUGGU